UCGGCUCGGUAUCGAUGGCGACACCAGGAGACUGGUGUGUGGAGGGAGUCUGACGUAAGUCAGCCCGGCGUAAGCCGCGAACAGGUCAGCGACCUGGGGAAACCUCGCAAGAACUCAACAAUUCGUCACCCCGAUGCACAGAUACCAGCUG
rfam:Enhygromyxa salina strain DSM 15201 ES-Contig_302, whole genome shotgun sequence.